rnacentral:rRNA from 1 species
UACAUGGGGUGCAAACGUUGCUCGGAAUUAUUGGGCGUAAAGCGCGCGUAGGCGGUUACUCAAGUCGGAUGUGAAAGCCCUCGGCUUAACUGAGGAAGUGCACCCGAAACUGAGUAGCUAGAGUACUAAAGAGGGUCGCGGAAUUCCCGGUGUAGAGGUGAAAUUCGUAGAUAUCGGGAGGAACACCGGUGGCGAAGGCGGUCUGCUGGGCCGUUGCUGACGCUGAGGCGCGACAGCGUGGGGAGCAAACAGG